GACGAACCGUGCGAACGUUGUUCGGAAUCACUGGGCUUAAAGGGCGCGUAGGCGGGUUCGCAAGUCUGUGGUGAAAGCCUCCAGCUUAACUGGAGAAGUGCCAUGGAUACUGCGCAUCUUGAGGAGGGUAGGGGCGUCUGGAACGGUCGGUGGAGCGGUGAAAUGCGUUGAUAUCGACCGGAACGCCGGUGGCGAAGGCGAGGCGCUGGACCCUUUCUGACGCUGAGGCGCGAAAGCCAGGGGAGCAAACGGG
rnacentral:rRNA from 1 species